UUCCAGUCUCCCCUACCGCACUCAAGCCCGCCCGUACCCGGCGCGGAUCCACCGUUAAGCGAUGGACUUUCACACCGGACGCGACGAACCGCCUACGAGCCCUUUACGCCCAAUAAUUCCGGAUAACGCUUGCACCCUACGUAUUACCGCGGCUGCUGGCACGUAGUUAGCCGGUGCUUAUUCGAAAGGUACACUCACCCCGAAGGGCUUGCUCCCAGUCAAAAGCGGUUUACAACCCGAAGGCCGUCAUCCCGCACGCGGCGUCGCUGCAUCAGGCUUGCGCCCAUUGUGCAAUAUUCCCCACUGCUGCCUCCCGUAGGAGUCUGGGCCGUAUCUCAGUCCCAAUGUGGCCGGUCGCCCUCUCAGGCCGGCUACCCGUCGAAGCCAUGGUGGGCCGUUACCCCGCCAUCAAGCUGAUAGGACGCGACCCCAUCCCAUACCGAUGAAUCUUUCCCGACACGACAUGCGUCAUGUCGGAG
rnacentral:rRNA from 1 species